ACCCUCCCUCCCAGACCCUCCUACUUCCUGGACAGCAUUUCAACAUGGAUGCUGUCCAGGAAGUAGGAGGGUCUGGGAGGGAGGGU